UAUUUUUGAUGUUGUCCACAAAUCCUGAGUGGUGUAUGACAUGUCGGAUUAUUUUAACAUAAGUUAUAUUUGAUUCUGUAUGUGUGUUUCGGCUUAUUGUUUUAUUACCUUCUAUAUUGUGAUUUUAUUUUGUUCAGAUCCUUGGUAAACUGUAUGGUUUUUACAAGUUCUUAUGCUGUCAUUUCUACUUUAUCAUCAUCUUUUACUAUUACUUCCUUUAUACUUGAUGGGUUUGCAUAGUAACAUCUCUUAUUUGUGCCGUAAAUGAUCAUUUGCCUUUAAUUUCUAUGUACUUUACUGGUUCAUUGGGUCCAUUGUGUUUACAAGUCAGAUUGAAAAAAAAUAAGCUUGAUCUUCUCAUUCUGUUCAGGAAAAAUUGAUGUUUUGGUUUAAACGUCGCCCUCUGGUAGACGUGAGUCAUGAACAUGGGUUAAUAGCAGCAGAGGAAGGUUUGUGCGAAGUUUUGUUUUUACUGUGGCAGUGGCUCAAGAGGUACAGCUGUUGGCUGGCUUCCCUAAGUCAUGUGCCGAAGUGUCCUUGGGCAAUACAAUGACAUCAUGAAGAGGGUGGGGGGAGCCAGUGUAACUUUCUCAUUUUAAGAAAACAGGAGAAGGUGGAAAACUAAGAACUGAAGUUUAGAAGAUGAGUGUUUGUGUGGGGGAAGAGGAUGAAGCAGAGUCUCCAGGAUCCAGAUCUGUGCCAAUGAAGAAUGACUGGUUCAUAUAUAAGCCUGAAUACAGUGCUAAACCUGGAGCCUCUGACACAAAAGGAACAGCCAUCCUGCUGUUCUGUGUGUCAGGAGAUUCUGAAGGAUCCAGUCUGUAUCAGCUGUGGACACUGGUUCUGCAAAAAGUGCAUCACCUCAUACUGGGGUUCGAGACUGUCAGGAGACUCCUUCUGCCCCCAGUGUGGGAAACGAUCCAGAACCAGAGCUGGACUGCAGACGGGCCAUCAGAUCAACACCGUCCAAACAGAUGUAGCUUUACAGGAGACUUUAGAUGAACAUAAGCUCAGUCUGAGGAGCAGAUCUGAACGUGUGACUGAAGGAGGUUCCAGCUUCAAGUCUGUUCCCAACCACGUUGUUUAUUAAAAUGAAUGGAUCAUGUCGAACCAGCACCUCGACACAAUGUUGAUCCCGUCCUGUGUGCGACAACAGCGCCCCCUUCCGGCGUCACCGCUCCCUCAGUCAGAUGUUUAUAUAAAACAGCUUGAAAGGAAGCGAGCGCUUCGAUCAGUUCAUGCUGAUUUCUUAUCAGACGCGACGCGGACGGAUCCUGUUGCGUCAGCAGUUUUCCACCAGUUUAAUGCGUCGGACUGAACGAUCGCUCCGCGGGAUCAGCGUCGGGAUCGACGGACGGGACGUGUGAAUCCAACUUCUGUGCGACCGAACCAGGGCUGAAGAUGAACGCGAGCGGCGGAACCCGCAGCGGGAAGACUUUCCUCUUCACCUCCGAGUCGGUGGGAGAAGGACACUCCGACAAAAUGUGCGAUCAGAUCAGUGAUGCUGUUCUUGAUUCGUACCUGAGUCAAGACCCCGACUCCAAAGUGGCCUGUGAGUGUGUGGCCAAGACAGGGAUGAUUCUGCUGGUUGGAGAAGUGACGUCUAGAGCCAUAGUGGAUCUGCAGUCGGUGGUUCGAGACACCGUGAAGAAAAUCGGAUAUGACGACUCUUUGAAAGGUGCCGUGUGACGAUGUUUAAGUCGACGUAUGGUCCUGUUGCUGGUUAUGACUAAUGUAUACAGAUGUAUACAGAAGAUUUGUUUUAAAACAAACCAAAGACGUUCCUGCAUUUAUCUUCUUUCAUACUUAGUGACAGUGACCUCAGUGACCUCUACAGGUCCCUGCAGAGGUCGUGGGGUGCUGGAGCCUGUCCCAGCUAAUUUAGGGCGAGAGGCGGGUACUCCCCAGGCAGGUCACUAGUGCAUCGCAGGGCUGUGAUAACAGGUUUUAUUAAUUAAUUAUUUACCAAAUAUAAAACAGUACUUUGUCAUAGGGGAAGAGUGACCAUUUUCUAAUGUCUGAAACCUGGUUUGAUUAAACUGAAUUUACCUGAAAGUCAGUAUCCCAGUGAAGCUGCAUAUGAUCCUUCUUAACAGCUAAUUAAACAUUGAAAAAAGA